rnacentral:rRNA from 2 species
GCACAUGAGAAUGUCCUAGAAACGUGCCCGAUCUCGUCUGAUCUCGGAAGCUAAGCAGGGUCGGGCCUGGUUAGUACUUGGAUGGGAGAAUGUCCUAGAUCCCCAGGAAUGUGUC